rnacentral:rRNA from 1 species
AUUGAACGCUGGCGGCAGGCCUAACACAUGCAAGUCGAGCGAGCGGCGGACGGGUGGGUAAUGUAUGGGGACUGCCCGAUAGAGUGGGAGAACUACUGGAAACGGUAGCUAAUACCGCAUCUUUUAGGAUAGCCCGUAUGGGAUUAGCUAGAGGUUAAGGUAAUGGCUUACGUAGGCGACGAUCCCUAGCUGGUCGGAGAGGAGGGUCAGCCACACUGGAACGGAGACACGGCCCAGACCACUACGGAGGAAGCAGUGGGGAAUAUUGCACAAUGGGCGCAAGCCUGAUGCAGCCAUGCCGCGUGUAUGAAGAAGGCCCUAGGGUUGUAAAGUUCUUUCAGUCGGGAGGCGUUACCGAAAGAAGAAGCACCGGCUAACUCCGUGCCAGCAGCCGCGGUAAUAC